UAGCGUAGGGGGCAAGCGUUGUCCGGAAUUAUUGGGCGUAAAGAGCGCGUAGGCGGUCCGAUAAGUCGGCUGUGAAAGUCAAGGGCUCAACCCUUGAAAGCCGGCCGAUACUGUCGGACUAGAGUCCGGAAGAGGCGAGUGGAAUUCCCGGUGUAGCGGUGAAAUGCGCAGAUAUCGGGAAGAACACCCGUGGCGAAGGCGGCUCUCUGGGACGGUACUGACGCUGAGACGCGAAAGCGUGGGGAGCGAACAGG
rnacentral:rRNA from 1 species